UACACGUUUCUUCAUGUAUUUAGACUUCUAUAUAUGAAUAAUUUUAUGUGUAACCCGGGGACAUACAUAUUAUAGAUAAUGAUUGACUAUGUAGCGAAACUACAUAUAAAUUCAACGCAUUUUGAAUCUGAAAUUCUACGUUUGCUAAAGCGGUCAGGAUAGUAGCAAGUGGAAUUCCGUGGUGUCUACCUACCCCAUCGGAAAAUAGGCGUGAUUUUGUGUAUAUCCCCGCACUCCCUCCAAGGCGCAAGCUGCCGUUCGGUCUCUCGCGAGCUGACGAACAACGCCACCCGGCGCGGGCGCAACGCGCGCAGCACGCGUGGCAGGGAGCCCCCCAGUAUCACCACAUCUUCAGGGCACGCCCCCACCGCGCCCCGGAUCACCUCCUUUGAUUCUGCCCUGUUUGAAAAAACAUACCUACUAUGCAUUAUGGUAACGCAACCGAUCAUUUGGCCUAAACUUCUGGAGCUCCUGUACACCGAAAAUGUGUAUUUCCCAACCCUGACGCUGGCAGAAUUGUCCCUGUUGACAGAAGCCAUUUAGGAGGAAAAAAUAAAAUGUUAGGUGACAAUGGUGCUAAUUCCUGUAAAUACCAUCUAAUUUUAUUUUAAGUUAUAUCUGUCAUUUUCUUAUCCGCCGAAAAGGAAAGGGACGGGUAAUCGACAAGCAUAAAAUUAAUGGAACACACGUCAAUUUUAAGCACAAAUCUAAACCAACCGUCUAAAAAUUUUACAUCCGUCAAUAACCCGUCACAGUUAAGUAGACAGCACGUCAAACGGAUUGCAUACCAGCGAGGUACCUUUUGAUUCGCCCGGGUUAUUCAUUCAUUUACUCAUUCUUCCUAAAAUUAAGAGCUGUGAAUCAUCCGUCCCUUUCCUUUUCGACGGAUAUGAAAAUGACGGAUAUAACUUAAAAUAAAAUUAGGCGGUGUCUGCAGGAAUCGGGGCCAUUGGCAGUUAUGGUUGUCUCUACUCUAUGACGACCGGUUGCCAUACGACCAUAAAGUUGAAGUUAAACCGUUAUCACUAUUGGAAUAUAAUCACUAAUUGUUCUGAACUAGACGUUCUGUUUAAAAUUCCUAUAUCAACCACUACUAUAUGUAGACUGUCAACUUAACCUUAAUGUAAAAUAGAACAUUGAAUUUCGCAAAUAUUGAUUCAUUUACGGAAAUAAUACAACUUAUGAACCGGUAACAUUAUUUAUUGCAGACGACAAACAUACUUACUACAAGAACAACAUUGUUGAAUUACCGAUUCUGGUAGACAGAAACUUUAUUUUAUUUUAUGAAGUGUGGCAGGAUCGUAUGAAAUUGAAUUCGAGUCUCUAG